UGGAGCACAUGGAAAAGAAAUUAGAAAAAGGAAAAUGACGUGGAAAUAAAAUGGGAUAGGAUUGAGGAAGUAUUGUCCGUUCAUGCUGACCGACAUCGUUCACCGGCUGAACAUCGUUCGACGUUUGAACCCUAGAGAGAAGGACAACCUAGCCACCCACCUAGAUCCGUGCCUCUUCCCACUUGCCUAGCCGUCAUUGUCAGAGUUUGCAUUCCUGUUGAGUGUCGUCGUUGACGUACGUUGUAUCGUCGUCCCUACCACCCACCAACAAGCUUUCGUCUUCAUUGAAGGUUGGCCGCCAUUGCCGGAAUUUGAAGUUGGACGUAGUGUCGCCGUUGCAAUGUUGUAGGCACCGCCUUUCCGCGUUUUGCAACGAAGGAACUUGGAAACCGCCAUUGGAGGUGAUUUUUGAAUGUUUCCAAUGUUUGUUUCGAUAAUGCAUUUUUUGUGUUGGGUUGGUUUAGUUUGUUUAAAAAUUGU
rnacentral:lncRNA from 1 species